GAGUUUGAUCGUGGCUCAGAGUGAACGCUGGCGGUAGGCCUAACACAUGCAAGUCGAACGGCAGCACAGGAGAGCUUGCUCUCUGGGUGGCGAGUGGCGGACGGGUGAGGAAUACAUCGGAAUCUACCUUUUCGUGGGGGAUAACGUAGGGAAACUUACGCUAAUACCGCAUACGACCUUCGGUGAAGCAGGGACCGUUCGGCCGUUGCGCGGAUAGAUGAGCCGAUGUCGGAUUAGCUAGUUGGCGGGGUAAAGGCCCGACCAAGGCGACGAUCCGUAGCUGGUCUGAGAGGAUGAUCAGCCACACUGGAACUGAGACACGGUCCAGACUCCUACGGGAGGCAGCAGU
rnacentral:rRNA from 1 species